rnacentral:rRNA from 1 species
UACAGAGGUCCCAAGCGUUGUUCGGAUUCACUGGGCGUAAAGGGUGCGUAGGUGGUGAGGUAAGUCGGAUGUGAAAGCUCGGAGCUCAACUCCGAAAUGGCAUUGGAAACUACCUUGCUCGAGGGUUGGAGGGGGGACUGGAAUUCUCGGUGUAGCAGUGAAAUGCGUAGAUAUCGAGAGGAACACCAGUGGCGAAGGCGAGUCCCUGGACAACUCCUGACACUGAGGCACGAAAGCUAGGGGAGCAAACAGG